UGGAAUCCAAGCUAAGGUGUCUGACUUCAA
rnacentral:piRNA from 1 species